rnacentral:rRNA from 1 species
GGUCAAGUUAUUAAGGGUGCAGGGCGGAUGCCUUGGCACCGGGAGCCGAUGAAGGACGUGAUAAGCUGCGAUAAGCUAUGGGGAGUUGCACGUAAACUUUGAUCCAUAGAUUUCCGAAUGAGGAAACUCACCAUGAGUAAUGUCAUGGUAUCUUCGAGUGAAUACAUAGCUCGUUGAGGGGAACUCGGGGAACUGAAACAUCUAAGUACCCGAAGGAAGAGAAAGAAAUUCGAUUCCGCUAGUAGCGGCGAGCGAACGCGGAACAGCCCAAACCUAAGAAGUUCGCUUCUUAGGGGUUGCGGACAUAUCAUCAGGAAGAGGUUAUUACAGACGAAGAGUUUUGGAAAGCUCCGCCACAGAAGGUAACAGCCCUGUAGUCGAAGUGAGAAGACUUCCGAUAUGAUCCAGAGUACCACGGGACACGUGAAACCCCGUGGGAAGCAGGAGGGACCACCCUCCAAGGCUAAAUACUACCCGGUGACCGAUAGCGCAUAGUACCGUGAGGGAAAGGUGAAAAGAACCCCGGGAGGGGAGUGAAAUAGAACCUGAAACCCUGUACUUACAAACUGUGGAAGCACAUUUCUUGUGUGACCGCGUACUUUUUGUAGAACGGGCCAACGAGUUACGUUAUGCAGCAAGGUUAAGUACUUCAAGUAUGCAGCCGCAGCGAAAGCGAGUUUUAACUGAGCGUUUAGUUGCAUGACGUAGACCCGAAACCGGGUGACCUAUCCAUGAGCAGGUUGAAGCGAAAGUAAAAUUUCGUGGAGGACCGAACCCACGAGCGUUGAAAAGCUCGGGGAUGACUUGUGGAUAGCGGUGAAAUUCCAAUCGAACCCGGAGAUAGCUGGUUCUCCCCGAAAUAGCUUUAGGGCUAGCCUCAGAUUCAGAGAUACGGAGGUAGAGCACUGAAUGUCCUAGGGGGUAUUGCACCUACCGAAGACUAUCAAACUCCGAAUGCCGUCAUCUUUUAUCUGGGAGUCAGACCGUGGGUGAUAAGAUUCACGGUCGAGAGGGCAACAGCCCAGACCGUCGGCUAAGGUCCCCAAAUGUAGGUUAAGUGGUAAAGGAUGUGGGAUUGCACAGACAACCAGGAUGUUGGCUUAGAAGCAGCCACUCAUUCAAAGAGUGCGUAAUAGCUCACUGGUCGAGUGAUCCUGCGCCGAAGAUUUCCGGGGCUAAAACCUACUACCGAAGCCACGGCAUCAUUUAUGAUGGGUAGGGGAGCUUUCUUUACUGGGCAGAAGCAUGACCGUAAGGACAUGUGGACUGUAAAGAAGUGAGAAUGUUGGCAUGAGUAGCGAGAUGUGGGUGAGAAUCCCACAGGCCGUAAACCCAAGGUUUCCAGGGGAAGGUUCGUCCUCCCUGGGUUAGUCGGGACCUAAGCCGAGGCCGAAAGGCGUAGGUGAUGGACAACAGGUUGAAAUUCCUGUACCGCCAAUAAGCGUUUGAGAAAUGGGAUGACACAGUAGGACAGGAUGAGCGUGCUGUUGGUUAUGCACGUCCAAGCACUGAGGCAGUAUCCGGAGGCAAAUCCACGGAUAUAAUGCUGGGGUGUGACGGGGAGCGAAAUUUAGUAGCGAAGCAUCUGCAUUCACACUGUCGAGAAAAGUCUCUAUCGAGUUUAAAGGCGCCCGUACCGCAAACCGACACAGGUGGGUGAGGAGAGUAUCCUAAGGCCAGCGAGAGAACUGUUGUUAAGGAACUCGGCAAAAUGACCCCGUAACUUAGGGAUAAGGGGUGCCAUCGAAAGAUGGCCGCAGAGAAUAGGCCCAAGCGACUGUUUACCAAAAACAUAGGUUUCUGCUAAGUCGCAAGACGAUGUAUAGGAGCUGACGCCUGCCCGGUGCUGGAAGGUUAAGGGGAUCUGUUAGAGCAAUCGAAGCAGUGAACUUAAGCCCCAGUAAACGGCGGCCGUAACUAUAACGGUCCUAAGGUAGCGAAAUUCCUUGUCGGGUAAGUUCCGACCCGCACGAAAGGCGUAACGAUUUGGGCACUGUCUCAACAACAGACUCGGUGAAAUUGUAAUUCCGGUGAAGAUGCCGGAUACCUGCGACAGGACGGAAAGACCCCAUGGAGCUUUACUGUAGCUUGGCAUUGGGUCUUGGUACUACAUGUACAGCAUAGGUGGGAGGCUUUGAUUCCAGGACGCCAGUUUUGGAUGAGCCACCGUUGGGAUACCACCCCUGUAGUACUGGGACUCUAACCAGAGGCCUUGAAUCAGGUCUUGGGACACUGUCAGGCGGGCAGUUUGACUGGGGCGGUCGCCUCCCAAAAGGUAACGGAGGCGCUCAAAGGUUCUCUCAGCACGGUCGGAAAUCGUGCAUAGAGUGUAAAGGCAUAAGAGAGCUUGAUUGCAAGACAUACAGGUCGAGCAAGGACGAAAGUCGGACUUAGUGAUCCGGUGGUUCUGAGUGGAAGGGCCAUCGCUCAACGGAUAAAAGCUACCCUGGGGAUAACAGGCUUAUCUCCCCCAAGAGUCCACAUCGACGGGGAGGUUUGGCACCUCGAUGUCGGCUCAUCACAUCCUGGGGCUGUAGUAGGUCCCAAGGGUUGGGCUGUUCGCCCAUUAAAGUGGUACGCGAGCUGGGUUCAGAACGUCGUGAGACAGUUCGGUCCCUAUCCGUCGCAGGCGUAGGAAAUUUGAGAGGAUCUGCCCUUAGUACGAGAGGACCGGGGUGGACGUACCGCUGGUGUACCAGUUGUCUCGCCAGAGGCAUGGCUGGGUAGCUAUGUACGGAACGGAUAAGCGCUGAAAGCAUCUAAGCGCGAAGCCAGCCUUAAGAUAAGAUUUCCCAUUCUUCGGAAGUAAGACCCCAUGAAGACUACGUGGUUGAUAGGUCGGAGGUAGAAGUGCAGUAAUGUAUGUAGCUUACCGAUACUAAUAGGUCGAGGACUUGACCAA